rnacentral:rRNA from 1 species
ACAAGUACCGUGAGGGAAAGUUGCAAAGCACUUUGAAGAGAGAGUUAAAGAGGACGUGAAACCGGUAGGAUGGAAACGGAUAGAGCUAGCGAAGCCGUUUGCUAGAGUCAAAAGCCGUCGACUCAGGGCCUUAAGAAUGUUAAUCCUUCGAUGGGCAUGACGUUGCGGUUGAGAUGUAUGUGGAUGGUUGCGCUGAGACUUGUGGGGCAGUUGUUGGAUGCUUGACAAGAGGCUUCCCUCUGGGUUGAACCCGGUCUUGUUGACAGCGAUUUGCUCAGCUCGUACGGGUUCGGUCCCUUUGUGUUUUGGUUGCGCCUUGUAUCGGGGUCACAUGUGACAAUCGGUGCUUGGUUCUUCCAUUGCGCUUAGGUUCCCGAGUCCACUCUCGGUGUAGAAGCUGGUCAUCUAUCCAACCCGUCUUGAAACACGGACCAAGGAGUUUAGCGUAUACGCGAGCCAUUGGGUGUUGAAAACCCACAGGCGCAAUGAAAGUGAAGACCCAGUUGCUGGGUUUACGUGUGAGCGGGAAGUCUUCGGACGACCGUGCAACAUGGUCCCGUUCUAGUUGCUUGCAACGGAGCGGAGAUAGAGCGUAUGCGCUGAGACCCGAAAGAUGGUGAACUAUUCCUGAGCAGGACGAAGCCAGAGGAAACUCUGGUGGAAGUCCGAAGCGGUCCUGACGUGCAAAUCGGUCGUCUGACUUGGGUAUAGGGGCGAAAGACUAAUCGAACCAUCUAGUAGCUGGUUCCUUCCGA